rnacentral:rRNA from 1 species
GAUGAACGCUGGCGGCGUGCCUAAUACAUGCAAGUCGAGCGAACAGACGAGGAGCUUGCUCCUCUGAUGUUAGCGGCGGACGGGUGAGUAACACGUGGAUAACCUACCUAUAAGACUGGGAUAACUUCGGGAAACCGGAGCUAAUACCGGAUAAUAUAUUGAACCGCAUGGUUCAAUAGUGAAAGACGGUUUUGCUGUCACUUAUAGAUGGAUCCGCGCCGCAUUAGCUAGUUGGUAAGGUAACGGCUUACCAAGGCAACGAUGCGUAGCCGACCUGAGAGGGUGAUCGGCCACACUGGAACUGAGACACGGUCCAGACUCCUACGGGAGGCAGCAGUAGGGAAUCUUCCGCAAUGGGCGAAAGCCUGACGGAGCAACGCCGCGUGAGUGAUGAAGGUCCUCGGAUCGUAAAACUCUGUUAUUAGGGAAGAACAAAUGUGUAAGUAACUAUGCACGUCUUGACGGUACCUAAUCAGAAAGCCACGGCUAACUACGUA